rnacentral:rRNA from 1 species
CCUUAGAGUUUGAUCCUGGCUCAGAGCGAACGCUGGCGGCAGGCUUAACACAUGCAAGUUGAGCGGGCGUAGCAAUACGUCAGCGGCAGACGGGUGAGUAACGCGUGGGAACGUACCUUUUGGUUCGGAACAACACAGGGAAACUUGUGCUAAUACCGGAUAACCCCUUACGGGGAAAGAUUUAUCGCCGAAAGAUCGGCCCGCGUCUGAUUAGCUAGUUGGUGAGGUAACGGCUCACCAAGGCGACGAUCAGUAGCUGGUCUGAGAGGAUGAUCAGCCACAUUGGGACUGAGACACGGCCCAAACUCCUACGGGAGGCAGCAGUGGGGAAUAUUGGACAAUGGGGGCAACCCUGAUCCAGCCAUGCCGCGUGAGUGAUGAAGGCCCUAGGGUUGUAAAGCUCUUUUGUGCGGGAAGAUAAUGACGGUACCGCAAGAAUAAGCCCCGGCUAACUUCGUGCCAGCAGCCGCGGUAAUACGAAGGGGGCUAGCGUUGCUCGGAAUCACUGGGCGUAAAGGGUGCGUAGGCGGAUCUUUAAGUCAGAGGUGAAAGCCUGGAGCUCAACUCCAGAACUGCCUUUGAUACUGGGGAUCUUGAGUUCGGGAGAGGUGAGUGGAACUGCGAGUGUAGAGGUGAAAUUCGUAGAUAUUAGCAAGAACACCAGUGGCGAAGGCGGCUCACUGGCCCGAUACUGACGCUCCCCCACGAAAGCGUGGGGAGCAAAAAGGAUUAGAUACCCUGGUAGUCCACGCCGUAA